GGCGACCCCCUGGACCAGCACUGGAUCCACGAGACCUCGGGUUCCGCUGGGCACCGGCAGCCCGAUCGCUGGAUCCACGGUGCGGGACCUGUUCCGUAGCGUGGAUCUCGUGCCCGUCUCCUAGGGAUGUGUGUACGCACCAGGCUCUCUGGAUGGCCCCACACGUCCUCCUCAGUCCUGUGCAGAAUCCUGUCUGACAUGAAAAGUUCCCAGUCGCCGAGGACUGGAAUGGGAAUGCUUGAGACUGCUAUGGCUGAAUCUGCCAGGAGAUCUGACUCAGGGAAAGCAGGCCAUCCUGUUAGCCUGUCACGUCUUCGAGGAGGCGGGUGGCUUUGAACUACUGAGGGGUUGCCUGGUUUGUAGUUUGGGAUGUGGCGGGAAGCGCCAAGACAACACUGCAGGAGAGAAGUGAGCAGGCGGUGGAGAGAUGGGAAAGGAAGAGAAGCCGAGCGAUUUGUGUGCUGUGGAGAGAGGCAGGCCUGGAGCUGCAAAGGCGGGAAACGGUGAAUUACUCCAUCCAUCAGCAGAGCCGGUAACAAACGCCAAGUGCCGGUGUGCCAAUGCCUUCUUUCUCUGAGAAAAUCCAACCCCUGUGGAGUCACUGUGGCUCCCACAGCUGUGUCCUGGCCCAGGACAGAGAGCAGGACCUGCAGAGUGGAGCCCACGGCCGACUGGCACGUCCCGCCAUGGUGCUUCCUUCCCAUCGUUGGCCUGUCU
rnacentral:lncRNA from 1 species